rnacentral:rRNA from 1 species
AUGUUAGAUUACAGCCACGCAGACAUUCUUGACAUUAGGAAGACUUUUCUGUAUACCUGCGCAACUAGCCAUGUGUUUGAUGUUGACUUCUGUGAGUGGCUGGAUCUUAAUGAGCAUGACUACAGGAUCUUUGGCAGCCAGUUCUCGGAGCUCGAGCGCGUAUCUCUUGAUCUUAGCCAGGGGCGUUCUCCAGAAAAGACAAGGUCUAGUGUUAUUAAGGGGCGGUUGGGAGCUCUAAAAGGUUCUACGGCUGCUUGUGCAGGGAGCCCCUCUACAUCCAAGAAUCCCAUUGUGGAAUUGAUAGACAGCGAUGAUGAUGCGUUUGACAAGAUUGCUGGCAUGGGAAGAGUCACCAGGAGCGCUGCUGCUGCCAAGGGUUUAUCCCCACUUGCUGGAAUAGUGGCCUGUAGAGCUGGUGGUGCUAGGAAGGAUCCUGCUUUGGAUUCUACUCUGCAGCAACUUCACUCUCAUAAAUUCCCUCACCUGGACAAGGCUCGCAAGUUGUAUAAUCUGUUGCUUAGCGAUGAAGCAUGUGAGAAGUAUGCCGAGAAUACAUUCUCAAUGAUACCUCAGCCCGAUGAUAGCAUAACCAGCUUCACUGGGAAACGCAUCUGA